UUCUAAGUCAGGACUGGAAGGAGAAUCCUUUGGAGGGAGGGAGCAUGUGUGAACCCAGGACUCGAUUCUGGCUCGAUGUAAUGUUUGAAUCAGGCCAUUAUCUUAAAGCACUCCUGCAAAGUAAGUCAAUAUUAUUACCUCUUUUAUAACAAUCCUGUAAAGUAGGUCACUAUUAUUGACAUACUAUAAAUGCUGAGGUCUCCUAAUGCCUGGUGUUCUUCAACAUAGGUAUACCAUUUUCUACUGUCUAAUCAUCAGCUACUUCCCAGGAAAAGAUGCUAAGAAGGAUAAUAUUACAAACCUCUAAGGCAGCUGGAUCAAGAUAAAGAGUUAUCUCAAACAAAGAUCAAGUGGCUGUUAGGGAAUCCCUUCAGUAAAACGUUCAGAGUCAGUGAAUUAAGCACAAGCUGAGGAUGCCAUGAAAAGUGCAAAGUUGCAGUACAGGCCUUCUAGUCUGAAGGCUCUUGGUGGAUAAUAAAUCAAACAUUAUAUUCUAUUAAGAUGGUCACCUGUCUGAACCCUCAUACCUAUAUCACCACUGGCUAAAGUUGUAUCCAGACUUGGUCCAUCCUGGAAAGGGACUGGAAUGUUUUCUACCCAGUCAGGACCUGAAUUGAAAUUGCUCGAAGACACCCAACAAUCCUCAAGUAGUCUGCCUUUGGGUUUGCACACUUCCACCAACCUUUCCCUGGUCAGCAGGAGUUCUGCAUACAAGUCACAUGGAGAACAGGAUUCUUCAUCAUGCAAAGUCAAGCGAUUCAAAGCACAUGCAAAUCCAUCACAUAUGCACAUGGUGCUGAACCUAGGGGGGGGAAACACCAUCGGUCCUUGCUAUGAGCAUGCAUGUGGAGUGAACAAAAAAGCACCAACACAAAAGAAAGCACAGAGCAAUGGGCAUGACAGUUUCAUCUGAAUGCGACAAUCCUACAGAACAACUAACUAUAUAUGCACAGGACCUUUUUUGGGCGGAGAUGAGCGAUCAGAGUUGUGGGGUCAAACCAUGGAUAAUAAAUGUGGCAUAGUUUUAGUUCUGUUCUCUUCUGUUGCCCCACGGCUGAUCUUGCCAAUAUUUAUUUCCUCUGUUAUCUAUCACAUUGUCAUGCAGAAAAGGUUACAGCUUAAAUCAGAAAGCAUUACAAAAGUUUUAAACUCAACAGUUAACAUGGAUAUUCUUUUUUUA